UUGAUUCUAAGGCCUAACUACUAGUUGGGCCUGAGUUUUAUAUCUUAGGCCCCUUUGUUUUCAUCCUAACUCUUGAACGACAUAAUAACUUAAACACAACAUUGGGCCAAGCAAACAACAGAGAGAGGUGAAAGGAAAGGUUGAGCAGCCCUUUAUUUUACAUUUUUGAGAUAUGUAAACAUAAGUUUUACAACACGGUGAGAUAUAAAUAUGCGAUCUAAUUUAUUUUUCUCUCUUUAACUAGCGGAUAUCUUCCAGAGACAAAAGGAUGAAGAGAUUAGGAUGGGACUAGGCUGAUCCUGACAUUUUGUUAUUAUUCUUCCUUACAACCCUCCUAUUGUCUCCUAUUCCAAAUUCCAACUCCAAAAAACUUCUCUCCCCUUGCUUGAGGGUUUUUCUCAAUGUUUCUAUGAGGGUUACAAGUCCAUUCAAAUCUGAUGCCACCGACCCUAGUCAUGGCUGGAGUCGGUGGAUUUCAAUGGGGGAGCCACAUAGAGCCUAGGAUUGGCCUAGGCCUACCCUGCAAUUACAACGUUUAAUGCCUAUUAUCUACAAAUGCUUACAAAAAUUAGCGUGUGCCCCAUGGCUUAGUGUUGUUUUGCACUUUCAAAAGGUCAUGGUUUGGGACCUUUUGGUAUGCCAACACUUUUAGAUUUUCUUUUUUUUUUUUAACUGAAAGAAAAAAAAAACCCUUAUGAUUUAUCUUUUUUUUUUUUUUUUUUUUGUUACCAUAUUAAAGCUAACCCCUAUUUUUUUAUGUUAUAAUUGGCCUUAUGUUUUAACUAUAAAAACCAUGUAGUCGAGAGCAAUGUCUUAUUUUAAGUUACAACCUUAAAUUUAGUUUUAAUUUAAUGUGUGAAUUUUUGUAUAUCAAAACUCGUGAACAAGUUUUGUUCUUAUGAUGUAAUCAUUUUAAUACCAAGAUUUUUAUACCAAAUUAAGGCUCCACCAUUCUUGUUUGAUUAAAAUUUUCCAUAUCACUACAAAAAACAAAAACUUUAAUUUUCCUCUCAUUUUUUUGUGUUGUAAUUAAUUUUUCUAAUUUUUUUUUUGUAGGGCCUUAAAGGCCCUUCUAGUCUAAUUUCUAGCUCCGCCACUAUGUGCUUUCCUUUUUCUCCUCUUUCCUUAUGCUGUUUUUACCCUGCUAUCCUUCCUAAUUUGCCUAUUUCUUCACACCCCAUCGGCGUCCCUCCUCCUUGCUCAUUUCUGCUCCGAUAUGCAACCGCUUCAUAAUCGCGAUUUGUUGAGGUACUUCGAGAUGUGUUGCUCGUGGAAUCCCAUAGACUUCCUUUACUUGGUUGUUGGUUUUCGUCUUUAUGGUUGUGUUCGGAGAGGUGCUCGUGGCUGGAUGUUGCAAUUGGCAGGGCGUUGGUCGGUUGGUGGUGUGGGAUUGUGCUGGUAGAGAAGCUCGGUGGCGGCGGGUGCAGUGGAAGGCUAGGCCUUCUUUUGCUGCAUUUUACAAUUUGGGCCUCAAUUGUUGGUUAGGUUUUGGGCUAGCUUGGCAUGUCCACUUUUAUUUGUUUGUGCUCAUUUAUCUUUGGGCCUUGCAUUGUUUAUUUGUGUUUGAUAAUGUAUUCACCUUUGUACCCAAAAUAAAAAAAUAAAAAAAAAUUCCUAACUA